GGAGCAGUGCGGGGGUUUGCUCGGUGACGUCACGGCCGGGGGAGGGGCCGGAACGAUGGCGGCGGCGUCCGCUGAUCCUGUUCAGGCUCAGCAACCAGCUGGUGGUGGCCUUCAAGGAGGACAAGACAGUGGCCUUCAAGCACCUGUUCCUCAAAGGCUACAAGGAUGGCACUAAUGACACCCAGGCCAUCUACACCCAUGGGGACCUCCUGCAGCACUGACCUGUGUCCUCGAGAAGAGAUCCUGGGAGUGCACCCUGGGGACCCCCAGCUGCAGGUGCUGGAUGGCACUAAUGGCAACUUCACCCUCCAAUUCCACAGAUAAAUCCCAACCCCCCCCAAAUUCUUGAUAAUCCCACUUA